CUACAUCAGUUGAUAUCAAUGAUAUCACACUUGGAUGUCCUUUUUUGAGUUUUCCAAGGACGGGAAAAUGAGGGAGAGUAUUACGAAACAUGGAGCAUGCUUAUUGCGUUUGGGAGUUGGCCCCUAAACAAAUAAUGCUUGGGGUAGAUUCCGGAGUUUGAUCAUGGGUGAUAUAGGGUUUGAUUGUACCUCUCUUGUCAGCUAUAGCUUUUGAGAAAAGUUGUCACGUCAUCCUAAUCAAGAAUGAAUAAUGAGUGUGGCACAGGG
rnacentral:lncRNA from 1 species